UUAUACCUACAUACGACAAUAUACAGUAAUUUAGUAUACUCUGUCGACUCUGUCCACGGUCGUAUAUGCAGGUCUGGGCACUCCCAUAUAUUUCGUAUACCCCACAGUGUGCAUCUAUCUGAGGCACAUGUUCCCACAUUGGCCGCAAAAGCGCGGAGCGCUGCAAUCUCGGGAGCACGUGUGUGACAGCGACAGAGCGAUAUAGACGGUGGCGAGGCUGUAAUGCGCGCAUGCCUUCCGUCACUAGCGACGUGGCGAAAUUUGAAAAUAUUCGCCUCAGUUAGAGGCACAGGUUUUUGGACAGAGUGCCCAGACCUGUAUACACGACCGUGACUCUGUCCAACUGAAAAUGUCAUGGCGGGUAAAACAAUUUCAAAGCGACGCUUUCGAGGGUAAAUGGUAUGUCGGAAUUAUUUCUGGUUCGUGAUAUGAAGUUUUUCCGGUUCGUCUCGAGUCUACGGUUUUGCUGAUCAAAUAAUUUCCAUGUUUCCCGUUGGAUGGUCAGGAUACAAUCGUGCGUUCACUUGGUGGGCAGAAGAGAAGUCUAUACCUGAAUUUCUUGCAACUAAAGUUAGAAACGCACAGACCGAACAAACUAGGGAUAGCGAUAGAACAAACCGAUAGAUUAAAGUUGUCCUACAGAAGCAUCUGCAACAAGUAGAAAAAAGUAUUAUUUGCAUUCUGCAUCAUGAACAAACGAAAGAUAGUUGAGGAUAUUGACAAGGCACAGGGAUUCAAGCGUGCCUUGGAACCAGAAAAAAUAAUCGGAGUAUCAGAUUGCGGUGGCGAGUUGAUGUUCUUGAUGAAAUGG
rnacentral:misc_RNA from 1 species